rnacentral:rRNA from 1 species
GACGGAGGAGGCAAGCGUUAUCCGGAAUUAUUGGGCGUAAAGCGUCCGCAGGUGGCCCUUCAAGUCUGCUGUUAAAGCCCAGGGCUCAACCCUGGAGAAGCAGUGGAAACUGGCGGGCUAGAGUGCGGUAGGGGCAGAGGGAAUUCCCGGUGUAGCGGUGAAAUGCGUAGAGAUCGGGAAGAACACCAGUGGCGAAAGCGCUCUGCUGGACCGCAACUGACACUCAUGGACGAAAGCUAGGGGAGCGAAUGGGAUUAGAUACCCCAGUAGUCCUAGCCGUAAACGAUGGACACUAGGUGUUGCGCGUAUCGACCCGUGCAGUGCCGUAGCCAACGCGUUAAGUGUCCCGCCUGGGGAGU